rnacentral:tRNA from 1 species
GAAUAUGAAGCGAUUUAUUGCAAUUAGUUUCGACCUAAUCUUAGGUACAAUUUUAUACCCUUAUUCU